GACGAACGCUGGCGGCGUGCUUAACACAUGCAAGUCGAACGGAAAGGCCCUGCUUUUGUGGGGUGCUCGAGUGGCGAACGGGUGAGUAACACGUGAGUAACCUGCCCUUGACUUUGGGAUAACUUCAGGAAACUGGGGCUAAUACCGGAUAGGAGCUCCUGCUGCAUGGUGGGGGUUGGAAAGUUUCGGCGGUUGGGGAUGGACUCGCGGCUUAUCAGCUUGUUGGUGGGGUAGUGGCUUACCAAGGCUUUGACGGGUAGCCGGCCUGAGAGGGUGACCGGACACAUUGGGACUGAGACACGGCCCAGACUCCGACGGGAGGCAGCAGUGGGGAAUAUUGAACAAUGGGCGGAAGCCUGAUGCAGCAACGCCGCGUGCGGGAUGACGGCCUUCGGGUUGUAAACCGCUUUCGCCUGUGACGAAGCGUGAGUGACGGUAAUGGGUAAAGAAGCACCGGCUAACUACGUG
rnacentral:rRNA from 1 species